CGUGCACCUGGAAGACAUGGGCGAGAGGAAUGAGAGGAGAAAGUCGUGAGCCGAGAAGGGCGGGAGCCUUGGGGACAGUCCCCAUCACCAUCGUGUGAGUCUGCACCCUGCUCCCAGAGAAUCUGCAGCGACCUCUUUGUCCGUCCUUCUAAAGGUUAACAAGAGUGAGGCAGCCUCCGGCAGGCAGACCAUCUGCAAACACGUCCUUUCUGGUUCUGAAGGAAGUUCAAGGCUGUUAUUCUUGCUUGUGCCAUCAAAAAGUCACAGAGUCUUCUGAAAUAAUUCACUCUUUGUAUGCACUGGGCUGUUAGCAACCUGAACCUGGUUUUUGAAAAAGUAACCAGAAAACUCCCAGCUGCCCUAAACUUCUCCGACUCAAGGUCUCCAAGAGGGAAUUGGAUAUGGAAGUCCUUAGAUUGCAGCGUUGGACGAGGACCCUGGAGGUCUGCCUCAAGCUUCCAGCACGCGGCUGCAGGCUGGCCGACGGACAGGGGCAGCUGGAGAAGGAUGUGUCUGGGGGCCAAGAGCACCUGCCUAAGAGCUCAGAGUCCGCUAUCAAGUGACUACGGGGGCCCCAGCUUGAUUGUGACGGGAAAUGACCUCCCUGCUGUGGGCUGCAGCGUCUGCAUCCGUAAAGACCGCAAAUGCUGCCCUGCCUUCCCAGGCUACUGGGGGGCUCAGGGUGACAUAACUCGGAAAGUGUUUUGCUGACCACAAAGAGAUGCUCAUUUAACAGGGACCCUGAUGGCGAUGCUGCCAGAUUCGUACAGAAAGCCGAAGUAUUAACAUCUUUCGUCAGGUAGAACGAAAAAUGACUGUGGGAAGAAAACAGUAUUUUUUUUACAAAGAUUUUUUUGUUGUUGUUUGUUUUAAAGGCAGAAUAACAAGGGGGGAGAGAGAGGGGAAUCUUCCAACUGUUGAUUCAGUCCCCAAAUGGCAGCAAUGGUCACAGCUGGGCCAGGCUGAAGCCAGGAUCCAGCAGCUUCACCCUGCUCACACCUCUAUCAGGCAGAGGCCCAAACACUUGGGUCAUCAUCCACUGCCUUGCCAGGUACCUUAGCAGAAAGCUGGAUUGGAAGUAAAACAAACUGGCUCAAACCAGAAUUCUGAUGUGGGGUAUCAAUGUUGCAAAAGGCAGCUUCACCCGCUGCACCCAACUUUUGGCCCCAUUUUUAACAAGACAUACCCACUGGAAAAACUCGUUAGAGUGUGAUCUUGAACUACAUCGUCUCCCAGACACAUCCCAGUUUGGCGUUCACUAACUCAGAGAGCUUUGGGGCUGCCCCAGAAGCGAGGGCAGGGCUGCCGCUGCACUUACAGUCACAACUGCUCUUCACGGCAGAGUCCAUGGUUAGAAAACCACCAAGUCGGCAUUCUUAUACCACCAUGUGUUAAGACUAAGAGGGGUCACUUUUAUUCCUUUCUGCUGGCUGCCACCCCACCACUGCCUGAAGUGGAGACUGAGGUUUAGCAGUGGUUCUGGGAGAAUCAAGGAAAAGGUAGCCCAGCGUUGACCCAGGGCCAGAGGAGGAUCCGGAGAAGACAUACAGCCUGGGUUCCAAACAGCUGCAAUUCAAUCUGACAAGUAUCUACUGAGGUCCCUGGAGAUGUUAUAGUGACAUCUCUCCUCAAAGCUCCGUGUCCAGGAAGAAACACAAGAAAAGCAAUUCUUACGUCACAAGAUUAUACUCGCAAAGUGUCCUGAAGGAGCUGCAAGCGAUCCUUACUGCAUUUAUGGUGUGGAGAUUGUGUGGGGGGCAUUGGACAACCACUGAGAGAAGCCACCAGGGAGCCAGGAAGCGCAGUAUUUACCACUUGUCUAGAAUAAGGGGACACUGGAAGCACCUGACACACGAUUACCACAGCGGACAUCGCUGGACGCGACCCAGAAAGUUAACCUGGGUCCAAAGGGCCCAGAAAUUUGAACUUUGUUCUGAGAAGGAUGAGUCAUCACCAGAGAUUUGUCUGAUGGUGAAAGGGACAGUUUGGAAGAAUACGUUGGUGAAGGGGUUGUUGGCAAGCAACCAAAACAAGCAGAGAGGAAGUCGGAGAGAAGAUGGGAGGAAGAACAAGACGUGAGGAGGCCUCUGGACACAGGGGACACAGCGUGGCCCUUCCCAGCUACAGCCCAGUCCCAAGAGAGCAGUUUACAGUCAGCAAACAUCGUAUAAGCCCGUCCCAUGUGCCAAGCACUGGCUCAGACGUUCGAAUACUUAACUCUCCCAGGAAACAUACAAGGUUCAGGGCAAAGCACUGAUGUCAUCUCUGUACAAUAAAUGAAGAUGUUCCAGCCUUGGUCUUUGAAGUCUGGAAAGUUGUGGGUAGCCAGCCUAGAAUGAAAAUUCUGCCUAAGUUCUUGUUUGGUAAAGGUUACUAGCUGAUUCUAUCACUGAAAAUACCACUAAAAUGAUUCAACCGGGCUGGCGUUGUGGAAUAGCAGGUAAACCCUCCACCUGCAGUGCCAGCAUCCCACAUGGGCACUAUUCGUGUCCCGGCUGCUCCACUUCCAAUCCAGCCCCCUGCUAAUGGCCUGGGAAAGCAGUGGAAGACGGCUCAAGUGCUUAGGGCCCUGCUACCCACAGGGGAGACCUGAAAGAAGCUUCUGGCUCUUGGCUUGGGCCUGACCCAGCCCCAGC